rnacentral:rRNA from 1 species
GAUGAACGCUGGCGGCGUGCCUAAUACAUGCAAGUCGAGCGAACGGACGAGAAGCUUGCUUCUCUGAUGUUAGCGGCGGACGGGUGAGUAACACGUGGAUAACCUACCUAUAAGACUGGGAUAACUUCGGGAAACCGGAGCUAAUACCGGAUAAUAUUUUGAACCGCAUGGUUCAAAAGUGAAAGACGGUCUUGCUGUCACUUAUAGAUGGAUCCGCGCUGCAUUAGCUAGUUGGUAAGGUAACGGCUUACCAAGGCAACGAUGCAUAGCCGACCUGAGAGGGUGAUCGGCCACACUGGAACUGAGACACGGUCCAGACUCCUACGGGAGGCAGCAGUAGGGAAUCUUCCGCAAUGGGCGAAAGCCUGACGGAGCAACGCCGCGUGAGUGAUGAAGGUCUUCGGAUCGUAAAACUCUGUUAUUAGGGAAGAACAUAUGUGUAAGUAACUGUGCACAUCUUGACGGUACCUAAUCAGAAAGCCACGGCUAACUACGUGCCAGCAGCCGCGGUAAUACGUAGGUGGCAAGCGUUAUCCGGAAUUAUAGGGCGUAAAGCGCGCGUAGGCGGUUUUUUAAGUCUGAUGUGAAAGCCCACGGCUCAACCGUGGAGGGUCAUUGGAAACUGGAAAACUUGAGUGCAGAAGAGGAAAGUGGGAUUCCAUGUGUAGCGGUGAAAUGCGCAGAGAUAUGGAGGAACACCAGUGGCGAAGGCGACUUUCUGGUCUGUAACUGACGCUGAUGCGCGAAAGCGUGGGGAUCAAACAGGAUUAGAUACCCUGGUAGUCCACGCCGUAAACGAUGAGUGCUAAGUGUUAGGGGGUUUCCGCCCCUUAGUGCUGCAGCUAACGCAUUAAGCACUCCGCCUGGGGAGUACGACCGCAAGGUUGAAACUCAAAGGAAUUGACGGGGACCCGCACAAGCGGUGGAGCAUGUGGUUUAAUUCGAAGCAACGCGAAGAACCUUACCAAAUCUUGACAUCCUUUGACAACUCUAGAGAUAGAGCCUUCCCCUUCGGGGGACAAAGUGACAGGUGGUGCAUGGUUGUCGUCAGCUCGUGUCGUGAGAUGUUGGGUUAAGUCCCGCAACGAGCGCAACCCUUAAGCUUAGUUGCCAUCAUUAAGUUGGGCACUCUAAGUUGACUGCCGGUGACAAACCGGAGGAAGGUGGGGAUGACGUCAAAUCAUCAUGCCCCUUAUGAUUUGGGCUACACACGUGCUGCAAUGGACAAUACAAAGGGCAGCGAAACCGCGAGGUCAAGCAAAUCCCAUAAAGUUGUUCUCAGCUCGGAUUGUAGUCUGCAACUCGACUACAUGAAGCUGGAAUCGCUAGUAAUCGUAGAUCAGCAUGCUACGGUGAAUACGUUCCCGGGUCU